rnacentral:rRNA from 1 species
UACGUAGGGACCGAGCGUUGUCCGGAAUCAUUGGGCGUAAAGAGCGUGUAGGCGGCCCCUUAAGUCCUGCGUGAAAUCCUGCGGCUCAACCGCAGACGGUCGUGGGAAACUGGAGGGCUAGAGUGCGGGAGAGGAGAGUGGAAUUCCCGGUGUAGCGGUGAAAUGCGCAGAUAUCGGGAGGAACACCUAUGGCGAAGGCAGCUCGCUGGGACGUUACUGACGCUGAGACGCGAAAGCGUGGGGAGCAAACAGG